AAGUCGUAACAAGGUUUCCGUAGGUGAACCUGCGGAAGGAUCAUUAUCGAAUUUCGAGGAGGAAGCUGGAAAGCAGAGGACUGUCGCUGGCUUUUUUUUUUUGCAUGUGCACGUCUCUGCUUUCUGUCAACCCCUCUCUCAUUCACACACCUGUGCACCUAUUGUAGGUCCUCGAAAGAGGAUCUAUGUUUUUUCACAUCACAUCUAUCGUAUGUAUAUAGAAUGCUAUCAAAAGACUGUUGACCAGGCUAGUUCCUGGUUUGACUGGUCUUAUGAAAACCAUAUUACAACUUUCAGCAACGGAUCUCUUGGCUCUC
rnacentral:misc_RNA from 1 species